UGCAAUGUUUGCAAAAGUACGCGAACGCUAAGUAGCAACAAACCGGCAGACAGAAAAACAGCUGAUUAUUUGUUUACUGCUAAGAAAUAGUUGAAAUUUGUUUCGUGACAAUUUACUAUCCAUAACGGUAUUGUGCUUUAAGUGAUAAAACUUAAACUUAAAUGGACUGGGUGCAGCUGCAAGCAAGUCGUGAGGAAAUUGUCGUAUUUCUUUAAAUAUGAAGAUGAGACCGCGGAAAGCUUUACGUGUGUGUAUUUCGGCCACGCAAUGAAGUGUAGUGAUAACGCCUUCUCGGCAGCCGUGCGUUUUGUAGUGAUCCUAGAUGGUGCUGUAUUGGGAAUAUUACUUUUUACGGCCUUGGAUUUUGUUGGUGU